AUUGAACGCUGGCGGCAGGCCUAACACAUGCAAGUCGAACGAGUGGCGGACGGGUGAGUAAUGUCUGGGAAACUGCCUGAUGGAGGGGGAUAACUACUGGAAACGGUAGCUAAUACCGCAUACCAUCAGAUGUGCCCAGAUGGGAUUAGCUUGUUGGUGGUGUAACGGCACACAAAGGCGACGAUCCCUAGCAGGUCUGAGAGGAUGACCAGCCACACUGGAAGUGAGACAGGGUCCAGACUCAUACGGGGGGGAGUAGUGGGGAAUAUGGCACAAUGGGCACAAGCGUGAUGGAGCCAUGCCGCGUGUAUGAAGAAGGCCGUGGGAGUGUAAAGUACUUGCAGCGGGGAGGCGUAACCCGCAGAAGAAGCACGGGCUAACUCCGUGCCAGCGCCGCGGUAAUAC
rnacentral:rRNA from 1 species